GACGAACGCUGGCGGCGUGCUUAACACAUGCAAGUCGAGCGGUAAGGCCCUUUCGGGGGCACACGAGCGGCGAACGGGUGAGUAACACGUGGGUGACCUGCCCUCAGCUCUGGGAUAAGCCUGGGAAACCGGGUCGUAAUACCGGAUAUGACUCCAUGACGCAUGUUGUGGGGUGGAAAGCCGUUGUGCGGCUGAGGAUGGGCCCGCGGCCUAUCAGCUU
rnacentral:rRNA from 1 species